GACGAACGCUGGCGGCGUGCCUAAUACAUGCAAGUUGAGCGCUGAAGGUUGGUACUUGUACCAACUGGAUGAGCAGCGAACGGGUGAGUAACGCGUGGGGAAUCUGCCUUUGAGCGGGGGACAACAUUUGGAAACGAAUGCUAAUACCGCAUAAAAACUUUAAACACAAGUUUUAAGUUUGAAAGAUGCAAUUGCAUCACUCAAAGAUGAUCCCGCGUUGUAUUAGCUAGUUGGUGAGGUAAAGGCUCACCAAGGCGAUGAUACAUAGCCGACCUGAGAGGGUGAUCGGCCACAGUGGGACUGAGACACGGCCCAAAAUCCUACGGAAGGCAGCAGUAGGGAAUCUUCGGCAAUGGACGAAAGUCUGACCGAGCAACGCCGCGUGAGUGAAGAGGGUUUUCGGAUCGUAAAACUCUGUUGGUAGAGAAGAACGUUGGUGAGAGUGGAAAGCUCAUCAAGUGACGGUAACUACCCAGAAAGGGACGGCUAACUACGUG
rnacentral:rRNA from 1 species